rnacentral:rRNA from 1 species
GUGAGGAAUAUUGGGCAAUGGGCGAAAGCCUGACCCAGCCACGCCGCGUGAGUGAUGAAGGCCUUCGGGUUGUAAAGCCCUUUUGUACGGGAAGAAAUCAUUCGGGUUAAUACCCUGGGUGGAUGACGGUACCGUAAGAAUAAGCACCGGCUAACUUCGUGCCAGCAGCCGCGGUAAUACGAAGGGUGCAAGCGUUAAUCGGAAUUACUGGGCGUAAAGCGCGCGUAGGUGGUUUUGUAAGUUGGAGGUGAAAUCCCCGGGCUCAACCUGGGAACUGCCUCCAAAACUGCAUGACUAGAGUACGGUAGAGGGUAGUGGAAUUUCCUGUGUAGCGGUGAAAUGCGUAGAUAUAGGAAGGAACACCAGUGGCGAAGGCGACUACCUGGACUGAUACUGACACUGAGGUGCGAAAGCGUGGGGAGCAAACAGGAUUAGAUACCCGAGUAGUCC